rnacentral:rRNA from 1 species
GAGUUUGAUCUUGGCUCAGAUUGAACGCUGGCGGCAUGCCUUACACAUGCAAGUCGAACGGCAGCACGGGAGCUUGCUCCUGGUGGCGAGUGGCGAACGGGUGAGUAAUGCAUCGGAACGUAUCCUGGAGUGGGGGAUAACGUAGCGAAAGUUACGCUAAUACCGCAUAUUCUGUGAGCAGGAAAGCGGGGGACCUUCGGGCCUCGCGCUCUUGGAGCGGCCGAUGUCGGAUUAGCUAGUUGGUGAGGUAAAGGCUCACCAAGGCGACGAUCCGUAGCAGGUCUGAGAGGAUGAUCUGCCACACUGGAACUGAGACACGGUCCAGACUCCUACGGGAGGCAGCAGUGGGGAAUUCUGGACAAUGGGGGCAACCCUGAUCCAGCCAUGCCGCGUGAGUGAAGAAGGCCUCGGUU